UACGAAGGUCCCAAGCGUUAUCCGGAUUUAUUGGGUUUAAAGGGUGCGUAGGCGGGCUAUUAAGUCAGUGGUGAAAGCCCCAAGCUUAACUUGGGAACUGCCAUUGAUACUGAUGGUCUUGAGUACAUUUGAGGUGGGCGGAAUGUGUCAUGUAGCGGUGAAAUGCUUAGAUAUGACACAGCACACCGAUUGCGAAGGCAGCUCACUAAACUGUAACUGACGCUGAGGCACGAAAGCGUGGGGAGCAAACAGG
rnacentral:rRNA from 1 species